rnacentral:rRNA from 1 species
UACGGGAGGCAGCAGUAGGGAAUAUUGGACAAUGGGCGAAAGCCUGAUCCAGCCAUGCCGCGUGGUAGAUGAAGGCCCUCUGGGUUGUAAAUACCUUUUAUCUGGGAAGAAAUAUCUCAUUCUUGAGAAACUGACGGUACCAGAUGAAUAAGCACCGGCUAACUCCGUGCCAGCAGCCGCGGUAAUA